GACGAACGCUGGCGGCGUGCUUAACACAUGCAAGUCGAACGGAAAGGCCCUGCUUUUGUGGGGUGCUCGAGUGGCGAACGGGUGAGUAACACGUGAGUAACCUGCCCUUGACUUUGGGAUAACUUCAGGAAACUGGGGCUAAUACCGGAUAGGAGCUCCUGCUGCAUGGUGGGGGUUGGAAAGUUUCGGCGGUUGGGGAUGGACUCGCGGCUUAUCAGCUUGUUGGUGGGGUAGUGGCUUACCAAGGCUUUGACGGGUAGCCGGCCUGAGAGGGUGACCGGCCACAUGGGGACUGGGAUACGGCCCAGCCUCCUACGGGAGGCAGCAGGGGGGAAUAUUGCACAAUGGGCGGAAGCCUGAUGCAGCAACGCCGCGGGCGGGAUGACGGCCUUCGGGUUGUAAACCGCUUUCGCCUGUGACGAAGCGUGGGUGACGGUAAUGGGUAAAGAAGCACCGGCUAACUACGU
rnacentral:rRNA from 1 species